AUUCUGCCCAUAGAUUUCCUUACAUUCGGCAAAAUCGAUAUGGUAUCUCAUAAUCGGGGACUUUCCUCUACGGAACAUUUCAUUAUCUGUAAUAAUCAUUACGUGAUGAUUACGUACUCGCUUAAAAUAGCAACUUCUGCUUUUGUUGUGGAUAGUGAGAUUUACACGAGCACAGAGUGGCUCAAAGAUCACUCAGGAUAAGUUUUGACAAAAAUAACGCGCCAAGUCUUGAAUGCCUUGCAUCUUGCAAUUAGAUGUUUGUGACUGCUGCAACGACCAAUCAUGUGCGAGGCCAUUGAUUUCAUCGACACUAAACAUCCGAGAAACUAUAACAGUCUACCGGUCUACAUAGAAUUAAUGAUAAACAGCAGUUCGUAUAGAAGUUUCAUGUUACUCUCGAGAGCCCGGUCUAAGCGAUCGAAUACGUCAGACGUGGAGUAUAUUGGCGGUUACGGCUGAAACAUAUAGCCAAUAUUGAUGAAACCGAAGAGCCGCUGCCGGAUAACAUUACUUAUCCAACAAUGUUAAUGUCUACCCCAAGAUCGAUUUGAAUUACUUCGACGACCCGGAGGACGUCAGAACGAUGAUUGCCGACAUCAAAGCGAUCAGAAUCAAUCAGACGGAAAUGAUGCAGAAGUUUAAUUCACGAUUAACAAUGAAUAACAUUCCCGGUUGCGAAAAGCACGAAUACGAUUCCUAUGACUACUGGGAAUGCGCGAUGAGGAUGCUAAUGUCAGCAGUUUUCCACUUGUCCGGUACCUGCAAGAUCCAAGAGGGGACUCGGCUACUAUCGUCGAUCUAAAAUUGAUUUGUAAUUUUUAAAAUUGAGUAUUGCACUCGAGAUUAUAUUUGCCGCUUCUUGGCAAUCAAGUGAUUUACUUAGUAACUUACUAAGUAAUCUACUUAACUUACUACUAGUUACUUAAUAAGUAAUCUACUUAGAUAUGUUUGUAUGCCCUGUUAUAAUUUCGAGUCUAUAACUCUCUCAGCCUCUGGAUAUCGAUUAUUUGCAGACAUAAAAAUGCACAAGUUAGAAUAUGCAUAGCUGUAUUUGAAUGUUGUGUAUCGUUCAAUUGUAUUCUAGUAUCAAUACCGGAAAGUCCAUGUCAAACGCUGCAUUAAGAAUUAAUACAAAGUUUUGCGUUGCUGGAAGGUUCGUGCGAAAUUUUUUUGGCAGGAUUCAGAGACAAAAUUUUGUAUUAAUUCUUAAUGCAAAGUUUUGCGUUUGGAUUUGCCAAGAGGAUUGACAUGAAUUUCCUAGUCUUAUUUAAAAUUAUAAAAACUUAUUAUAAAAUUCAUGAAGUUAUUCCACUUUGUGUAUUAAAACAGCUUGAAUAUAAAAUGCUAUUAUUUUUUAAAAUUUGCAUGGCAUAAGGAACAGGAGUGUCUAGGAUGCUUUAGUUGGAAAGUCAAUCAAAAAUCGUAUGAAUUGCUGCAAGAGAUGUGAUAAAUAAACCAAAGUCCGAAAUUCUCGCUUUGAUAUAUGAAGUAGAGGAAUCAUUUAAUGUAGAUAUGAAAACAUUAUGCCAAAUAUAUACUAAUUCACGCAGUAAGCGACGAGACAGACCGUAUAUAUUAUAUUUAUAUGAAAUAAAAUAAAAAACUAUAACAUAUUUAAUU
rnacentral:lncRNA from 1 species